rnacentral:rRNA from 1 species
GAUGAACGCUGGCGGCGUGCCUAAUACAUGCAAGUCGAGCGGAGCGGGCGCGGGUGAGUAACACGUGGAUAACCUCCUAUAAGACUGGGAUAACUUCGGGAAACCGGAGCUAAACCGGCUACUUAUCGCUGGUUGCGGUCGGUAUUAGCUGGUUGGUAAGGUAACGGCUUACCAAGUCCACGAUGCCUAGCCGACCUGAGAGGGUGAUCAGCCACACUGGAACUGAGACACGGUCCAGACUCCUACGGGAGGCAGCAGUAGGGAAUCUUCCGCAAUGGGCGAAAGCCUGACGGAGCAACGCCGCGUGAGUGAUGAAGGUCUUCGGGUCGUAAAACUCUGUUAUUAGGGAAGCGGUACCUAAUCAGAAAGCAACGGCUAACUACGUGCCAGCAGCCGCGGUAAUAC